rnacentral:rRNA from 1 species
ACAGCAGUCGCCGCGGGAAUACGUAGGGUGCAAGCGUUAAUCGGAAUUACUGGGCGUAAAGCGUGCGCAGGCGGUUUGUUAAGACAGAUGUGAAAUCCCCGGGCUCAACCUGGGAACUGCAUUUGUGACUGGCAGGCUAGAGUAUGGCAGAGGGGGGUGGAAUUCCGCGUGUAGCAGUGAAAUGCGUAGAUAUGCGGAGGAACACCGAUGGCGAAGGCAGCCCCCUGGGCCAAUACUGACGCUCAUGCACGAAAGCGUGGGGAGCAAACAGGAUUAGAUACCCCAGUAGUCCCUGUCUCUUAUAC